UACGGGGGGGGCAAGCGUUGUUCGGAAUUACUGGGCGUAAAGGGCUCGUAGGUGGCCAACUAAGUCAGACGUGAAAUCCCUCGGCUUAACCGGGGAACUGCGUCUGAUACUGGAUGGCUUGAGUGUGGGAGAGGGAUGCGGAAUUCCAGGUGUAGCGGUGAAAUGCGCAGAUAUCAGGAGGAACACCGGUGGCGAAGGCGGGUCUCUGGGCCGAUACUGACGCUGAGGAGCGAAAGCGUGGGGAGCGAACAGG
rnacentral:rRNA from 1 species